CCUACGGGAGGCAGCAGUGAGGAAUAUUGGUCAAUGGACGAGAGUCUGAACCAGCCAAGUAGCGUGAAGGAUGACUGCUCUAUGGGUUGUAAACUUCUUUUAUAUGGGAAUAAAACAGGGUAUGCAUACCCUCUUGUAUGUAUCAUAUGAAUAAGGAUCGGCUAACUCCGUGCCAGCAGCCGCGGUAAUACGGAGGAUCCAAGCGUUAUCCGGAUUUAUUGGGUUUAAAGGGAGCGUAGGUGGAUUGUUAAGUCAGUUGUGAAAGUCUGCGGCUCAACCUUAAAAUUGCAGUUGAUACUGGCAGGCUUGAGUACAGUAGCUGUGGGCGGAAUGCAUGGUGUAGCGGUGAAAUGCUUAGAGAUCACGAAGAACUCCGAUUGCGAAGGCAGCUCACUAGACUGCAACUGACGCUGAUGCACGAAAGUGUGGGUAGCAAACAGGAUUAGAUACCCCAGUAGUC
rnacentral:rRNA from 1 species